UGCUGUUAAAAUGAUUCAGAUUUCAGUGAUAAGACUAUACUUUCAAUUGAUGUUUCUGCUUAUUUUGUCAGAAUUCUGCUUAUUGGUUGCCAAAAAAAAAUCUACACUAUUCUUUCAUAAUAUUCACUAACAUUUUUUUUUGAAGAAAAAAGAAUAUUCUUGAUGAGAUAUGAGUAUUACAACAUACAUUUAACUUGUAGCUGAUCUUGUUUCCAGGUCCAAUCCUUUGUUCACUGUCAAUCCAGUAAGACGGAAUUCCACUGAGUUCUCCAAUUUCUUGCAAAUGAGAGGUGUUACUGGAGUUCCAUCCUCCAACAACCAGAAUAAGAUCAACUUUCUCCUUCACUAGCUGGUACAUUGCAUCUUGUCUUUCCUGAUAUAUGAAGGGGAAGGGUGUCACCAAUAUAUGAACCAAACAUAGACUAUGAUCUGAUUGUAUCCAAAAACACCACAAAGUUUGUAGGAAUAUGCUCGAACAAGGUUACUUAUGCAGAUUACAAUGGAGCCAUAAAUGACUUAAUAGUACAACAAAGUUUACCUGUGUGGCAUCACAGAUAGUGUUGAAGGCAAUGAAGUGGUCAUUGACAUUCUCAACUCCAAACCUACGCAUCAUUGUCUUCUCAACAAGCUUCCCUGUUAGUUAUACAGCAUUAUAGUCAAAUUUGAUAUUUAAAACCAAAUUGUACUGUAUAUAAUAACACAAACUAACAGGCAUGAAGCUAAUGGCAAUUAGCAUCUGCUAGCAUACGAACCAAUUUCUUCAGUUUCUCCUUUAAGCAUUGUUGUUUGAUUGGCAAUGCCAACUUUCACUAAGUCAACAUCAGGAUCAAAUCCUGGAGAAACAGCAUUUUUGAAUUUCUGCAGUUGUUGAUAAAACAUUCGAUUAGACAUUGGCAUUUCUUUCCAACAUAACAGGGCAAAAAAAAAAAGAUGAUUCAAGAAAGGCUUUACCUCAAGGAACUCCUCUUUUGUGGAGCUAGAACCAUCAAGUUGGCCACCAAGUAUAUAAUCACAUACAUAGCUAGCCUGUUACAAUUGAUAAUAUUUUGUUAUUUGAGCCAAAUAAUGUAUUCAACAUGGAAGUCAAUGCAAUAGGAAAAAAUUAAAUGCAUCAAACAUACCUCUGCUAUGUUCUUAACAAUGAUGUAUGUCCCUGCAAAGGAAGCAGUGGCAACAGUUUCUUCAUGGGAGUAUUUUCCAUGAAUAAUAGAAGUGUAGUCACCCUUCUUGUGCUUUUCAACCAUGUUCCACACCUAUAUAUAGUAGUGGAGUUCAUCAACCAGAUAUACCUUUGAUUUCUGAUAAUCUCAGAGCGACAUAGAAAGGAUCAGGUGAUCUUCAAAAGGGAAACCCACCUUUGAAACCCAAGGGCACGUUGUAUCGACUAUCUGCACCUUCUUCUCAUUCAGCGUGUACAUCUCCUCCACGGCCGCUCCAAAUGCAGGCAAUACGACAACAUCCCCUUGCUCGACAACAUCGAAAUCCUUAAUACCUGCAUCAACAGGAAUGUUUUGGACGCCCAUGUCCUCCAAUCGCUGCAAACACAAUAGCAGGAGUCGAAUUCAAGUCACUUCCAAUUCCAGAGUCCGUUGUCAUGCGAAGCACAGAUGAUUGAAUACUCUUAAGCAGCAGAUAAAAAGAAACUAGUUAAUUGGGUAAUCAAGGGGGUAUAAAAGUCUAAAACGCAGAAUCUGGUGGCCACUCUUCGCUGUGAACACUUUCUCAACUAGAAAUUGGUAGGAUUUUACUCCAAAUCUCAUUUGCACCAAAUAGAUCAUUUUACCACGCACACGCAGACGCUAAUCUAUCCCCUCAUACGCAACAAACUCAGUUCGUGGAAGGAGGCGGGCAUUCACGAAGGGGAAAAACCACAAAAUUCAUCCCCAUGGAGACGAGUCGACGCCUGAAUCAAACGAAAUGGAUAGGGGAGGAUUUCAUAAUCACCUUGUUGACGGUGGGGUUGUGGAUGAUCUCGUUGGUGAGCCAGAUGCGAUCGUCGGGGAACUGCUUGCGCGCCUCGUAGGCGAUCUGCACGGCGCGCUCGACGCCCCAGCAGAAGCCGUACGCCUCCGCCAGCUUCACCGUCACGGGGCCCCACGUGUGCUGGUUCCCGUUCUCCUUGAGCGUCUUGAUCACGUCGCCUGAGACCAAGAACACGCCGCCGCCGGUGAGCCCCCAAUCAAGAAGAGAAAAAAAAAGAAAGGGAAAGGAGAGGAAAUCAUACUGGUGUACUCCUGGCUCAUGAGCUCGAGCGUCUCCUUCUUGUGGCCGAAGCCCUUGCGGUUGUAGUUGUCGCUGCGGGUGAGGUUGUGGCGGAACUGCUUCUUGUCGAAGUCGGCGUCGAGCGACGCGGAGGCGGACAGGGACGACGCUGCCGAGGAGUCGCACCGCACGGACGACGGGGCGCGCCUGGCACGGCGGCUCGGCGAGGCCGCCGGCGAGAGGAGGGCCGACCGGAGCUGCGUGGUGAUGGUCGCCAUCACCGCCCGCGCCGCCGGAUGCCGGUGGUGGUGGUGGUGGUGCCAAGUGCCGCGGGGAGCUCUGGAGUGGAUGGGUGUGGGUGCGUCGGAUUCGGAGUUGGGAUCUCCCCACGCUCGGCCACUCUUAUCCCUGUGGCCUCAAAUUGUUGUUCAACUCACUGAUGUUUUUACAGGACACACCCUCCACUUAUAUCGAUAUUACCGUAUUCCAUCCGUUCCAAAAUAAACUAACCUACGUUCCGUACGAGGUUGGUUUAUUUUGGACUGAAGUAGUAUGUAAGUAUUUCUAGAUCGUUCAGCAAAUAAUAAUGUUAUGAGAAAAUAUUUCUUUUCCGUCAUGUUAGUUGUUGAAUUUUGAAUUGCUUAGAUUCUUCUUCCAAGCACCUAAGGCUGUGUUUAGUUACACGAUAAAAUUGGAAGUUUGAAGAAAUUGGAAUGAUGUAACGGAAAAGUUGGAAGUUUGUGUGUGUAGGAAAGUUCGAUGUGAUGGAAAAGUUAGAAGUUUGAAGAAAAAAGUUGGAAUCUAAAUAGGGCCUAACUGGCUGAAAAUGCAUUGAUUUUCAUGUAUUUGAACUACUCCCUCCAUCCCAAAAUAUAUGAGAUUUUGGAGGGACGUAACAUAUCUAAUAUGAAUCUAGACAUGCUGUCUGAUCAGAUUCGUAGUACUAGAAUGUGUAAAAUCCUUUGUAUUAUGGGAUGGAAAGAGUAACAUCACAGAAAUACAUAUACUACUAUGUUAUAAUUUUUGAAUCCUUGAAAACCUAGAUAGUGGGACGAAGGGGGUAUAAUCAUUUCUAGUCAUUUUUAGCAAAGGUUAAAGAUAUUGUGAAAGAUUUCCUUGGCAGUUGUCACAUUAUUUCUCAAAAUUUGAAUUGCUUGAAUUUCCAUCAUAAGCAUCUGAUUGAAUGAAAAUACUUACAUUCCUAUGUUAUUAGAUUUUCAGAAAUACUUUAUUUAGUAACAGAGGGAAUACAUUAUAACAUUUUCUUUGCAGUGAUUUUUGCAUAGUAGCAGGGGUGGGAUGAGAAUUUUGCAACUGCCAAAACGCCGGGGGCUCCGUGGUAGGGGAGGCAUAUUCCUGUCACUAGCAAGCAAGCCGGACGGCCCAGACUAGGCGACGGUCAGCGCGCCGGGAGCAGAAAAUUUCCGGAACAAUCGAGCCACGUUUUUCUGACCGCGCGAAAUUCUGAGGACCCCAGCGCCACAAUCUCUCGUCUUUUAUUUUUUUACCAGCCUGAAUUUUCGUGUGUUCUUCUUUUCAGAUAGAAUUUUUGUGUGCUUUGUGCGCGCGUCAGUUUGCGAUGAAAGAGAGAUGGCCCGGCGGCUAAUCGAUCGCUUUGUGACACAUCUGUGGAAGAGCACUCAGCCGGAGCUUAAAAGUUCCAAAAAUAAAAAAAAAUCUCGAUAGCACUAAAAACAUAUUUCUGGAGGCCGUUGUUGGUUGAUGAUGCCAUUCUCGAUGUAAGAAAAGAGCGUUAAAAAUCAUCUCAUCGGUUUGCCAUCUUUCUAUCACCGAACCACGAUUUCUUUCCUAAUGCGUUAUUUGGCAUGCGGUACGGAUUAAUUCGUAGAUUUUUUUUAUAGAAACCAGUUUGAUCGCUGUGAAAAAAAAAUCAGGAACAUGUGUUCCACUUGAAAAAAAAUGCGUUUCGUUAAUAGGUUCACUGCACGUUCUGUUGCCUGCAUGGUCUUCUACAUGUGCGUGGAAAGCGUGGCCUGACUUUGAAAUCGACCCAAACACGUGAAACGGACGGCCUUACGCAUGCAUAGAAAAAAAAAUAAAGAUAUACGCACACUCUCUGAAACCGAAUGCUUCGUGAUUUUGACCUUUGUGCUUCAGCUGUACGCGACAGAUUCACACCGAUCCGUCCAUUCGUGCCUAGUACAACAAUUAAGCAUGAGAAACUCAAUGUCAAAGUACAUCCAAAUUGAUACUAAGUACCAAUUUACCAUGAGUAAGAUUCGAUUUUAUUGGAAAAACUUGGUAGUAUUUCGGUUGCUCAAUUGAAGAAAAUCAGUUUUGGUCUCUAACAUAUGUUACUGGCAGUCAAUGAUAUUUCUUACACAGAGACCGCAACUAAUCGUGAGUAACUAUGGUCAAAUGUAACCGGCCUUACCAAUUUUACAGGCCUUAGGCUGUGUUUAGUUACCUUCGAACUUUCAAAAAUUCUAUCACAUCAAAUAUUUGAACACAUGUAUGGAGUAUUAAAUGUGGACGAAAAAAAAUAAUUACAUAGUUUGCAGGUAAAUCGCGAGACAAAUCUUUUAAGCCUAAUUACGCCAUGAUUUGAUUAAUGUGAUGUUACAGUAAAAAUUUACUAAUGACGGAUUAAUUAGGCUUAAUAGGUUCGUCUCGCAGUUUACAUGCGGAAUCUAUAAUUUGUUUUGUUAUUAGUUUAUGUUUAAUACUUAAAAUAUGUGUUCGUAUACUUAAAAAAAAUUAAAAAAGAACUAAACACGGCCUUGUUUUGUCUCCUGUGGUUAAAGCAAAUCGUAGCCCAUCAGAGCCCAUAGGCCACACCCACAUCUUAACGCCCAAGUAAGGCCUUAUUUAGAUGGGCCGAAUUCCCAGCCCGCAUACGUGGAUGUGCCGGGAUUUGCUUGCAUCCACAUCCCGGAAGUACCACAGCAACAGCAACAAGAAACGUUCCAAGUGAUUUCUAUGAUGCUAUCUACUUGUACUCCCUCCGCUCCUGUUUAAACUCGUAGUAUUAGACUGUAUCUUAUUCGAUUCUAUGUUGUUACUACCUCCGUCCCUAAAUAAUUACAGCCAUGGUUUUCCGCGCCCAACUUUGACCGUUCGUAUUAUUUGAUUUUUUUUAAAAAAAAUUAAAAACAUAAGUCACGAGUAAAGUACUAUUCAUGUUUUAUUAUCUUAUAACAACAAAAAUGCUAAUUAUAAAAUAAUUUUAAAUAAGACGGACGAUCAAAGUUGAGCGCGGAAAUUCAUGGCUGCACUUAUUUUAGGACGGAGGUAGUAUAUUAUACGAUGGAGGGAAUAGUAUUUUACAUUCGCCCUGCAAGGCUGCAACUCAAAGUUAUCAGUAUGCCUUCCCAGAUCACCAAAUAUGCACAAAUAGUUCAUGCUAUGAACUCAAGUCUCAAAUUCUCAAUCAGCCGAUCUUAUUUCUUCUGUAUCUUUAUCUGACCAUACUAGCAUCUCAUGUCUCCUUGUGCUUGCUCAUCUCUGUGCGCCUGCAACAGUGUCUCAUGAUCUCAUCUAUUGCUCUGUCGCUUCACCAAGCUCCUGACGCUUUAUCUCAAACACCUUCUGCAGCACAUCCUCAACGACCUGGCAUAUUAUUUAGUGCAGAUAUUUAGUCCCAUGGUUAUACUAGCACUGGAGCACUUAUGGGCAAAACAUUUGUAGUACUUGAUAGGAUAUUUAUUAAUUCAGCGUGUAAAUCGGAUUAGAUGCAUAGAUAUACCUUGUCUGGAGUAGAGGCUCCAGAGGUGACUCCAAUUGUGAUUGCUCCAUGGGGUAACCAUUUGUCUUUCUCAACAAGUUCACCAUUCUGCCAUGCAAUUGCACACAUUCAGUAAAUAACAUAAACACAUCCAUUGUCAUCUUUAAUAGACUCACAGUAUAGUUAUCUUCCAUUUUACAGAAGAAGUAUAUCAUGAAUUACUUUUUUGAAACAAAGGCAAAAGUUCUGCCUCGUUUCAUUGAUCAAGAAGAGAUACACAUCAACCAUGAAAGAGUUACACACUGAAAACACCAUUCUACAGGCACCUCAAUAUCAUUCCCCAUAGCUACAUUGAACACUUGAAAACACCAAAGCAAUCAAAACACCUAUAUACAACACCCAAGACCUAAGUACAUCAUGAAUUAUAAGCAUGAGAGAUAAAUGUAUCAGAUGUGUUAAGGAAGCAAACCUUUUGUUUGUAGCUGAUCUUGUUCCCUGGCCCAAUCCUCUGCUCACCAUCGACCCAGUAGGAAGGAAUGCCACUGAGUUCUCCAAUUUCUUGCAAAUGGGAGGUGUUACUGGAGUUCCAUCCUCC
rnacentral:lncRNA from 1 species